rnacentral:rRNA from 1 species
CAGGACGAACGCUGGCGGCGUGCCUAAUACAUGCAAGUCGAGCGGACAGAAGGGAGCUUGCUCCCGGAUGUUAGCGGCGGACGGGUGAGUAACACGUGGGUAACCUGCCUGUAAGACUGGGAUAACUCCGGGAAACCGGAGCUAAUACCGGAUAGUUCCUUGAACCGCAUGGUUCAAGGAUGAAAGACGGUUUCGGCUGUCACUUACAGAUGGACCCGCGGCGCAUUAGCUAGUUGGUGAGGUAACGGCUCACCAAGGCGACGAUGCGUAGCCGACCUGAGAGGGUGAUCGGCCACACUGGGACUGAGACACGGCCCAGACUCCUACGGGAGGCAGCAGUAGGGAAUCUUCCGCAAUGGACGAAAGUCUGACGGAGCAACGCCGCGUGAGUGAUGAAGGUUUUCGGAUCGUAAAGCUCUGUUGUUAGGGAAGAACAAGUGCAAGAGUAACUGCUUGCACCUUGACGGUACCUAACCAGAAAGCCACGGCUAACUACGUGCCAGCAGCCGCGGUAAUACGUAGGUGGCAAGCGUUGUCCGGAAUUAUUGGGCGUAAAGGGCUCGCAGGCGGUUUCUUAAGUCUGAUGUGAAAGCCCCCGGCUCAACCGGGGAGGGUCAUUGGAAACUGGGAAACUUGAGUGCAGAAGAGGAGAGUGGAAUUCCACGUGUAGCGGUGAAAUGCGUAGAGAUGUGGAGGAACACCAGUGGCGAAGGCGACUCUCUGGUCUGUAACUGACGCUGAGGAGCGAAAGCGUGGGGAGCGAACAGGAUUAGAUACCCUGGUAGUCCACGCCGUAAACGAUGAGUGCUAAGUGUUAGGGGGUUUCCGCCCCUUAGUGCUGCAGCUAACGCAUUAAGCACUCCGCCUGGGGAGUACGGUCGCAAGACUGAAACUCAAAGGAAUUGACGGGGGCCCGCACAAGCGGUGGAGCAUGUGGUUUAAUUCGAAGCAACGCGAAGAACCUUACCAGGUCUUGACAUCCUCUGACAACCCUAGAGAUAGGGCUUUCCCUUCGGGGACAGAGUGACAGGUGGUGCAUGGUUGUCGUCAGCUCGUG